rnacentral:rRNA from 1 species
UACGUAGGGGGCAAGCGUUGUCCGGAUUUAUUGGGCGUAAAGAGCGUGUAGGCGGCCAUACAGGUCCGUUGUGAAAACUCGAGGCUCAACCUCGAGACGUCGAUGGAAACCGUAUGGCUAGAGUCCGGAAGAGGAGAGUGGAAUUCCUGGUGUAGCGGUGAAAUGCGUAGAUAUCUGGAGGAACACCGGUGGCGAAGGCGGCAUCCUGGACCAAUAUUGACGCUGAGGAGCGAAAGCCAGGGGAGCAAACGGG